GUCGUAACAAGGUUUCCGUAGGUGAACCUGCGGAAGGAUCAUUACCUAGAGUUGUAGGCUUUGCCUGCUAUCUCUUACCCAUGUCUUUUGAGUACCUUCGUUUCCUCGGCGGGUCCGCCCGCCGAUUGGACAAUUUAAACCAUUUGCAGUUGCAAUCAGCGUCUGAAAAAACUUAGUAGUUACAACUUUCAACAACGGAUCUCUUGGUUCUGGCAUCGAUGAAGAACGCAGCGAAAUGCGAUAAGUAGUGUGAAUUGCAGAAUUCAGUGAAUCAUCGAAUCUUUGAACGCACAUUGCGCCCCUUGGUAUUCCAUGGGGCAUGCCUGUUCGAGCGUCAUUUGUACCUUCAAGCUCUGCUUGGUGUUGGGUGUUUGUCUCGCCUCUGCGCGUAGACUCGCCUCAAAACAAUUGGCAGCCGGCGUAUUGAUUUCGGAGCGCAGUACAUCUCGCGCUUUGCACUCAGAACGACGACGUCCAAAAGUACAUUUUUACACUCUUGACCUCGGAUCAGGUAGGGAUACCCGCUGAACUUAAGCA
rnacentral:rRNA from 1 species